GCUGUGAUCGUAUAGUGGUUAGUACUUUACGUUGUGGCCGUGACAACCCAGGUUCGAAUCCUGGUCACAGCA
rfam:Ciona savignyi cont_27660, whole genome shotgun sequence.